GAGUGAACCUGAAAAGGUGCACUGCGAAGUUUUGCUCUUUAAAAAUCUGGAUCAAGCUGAAAAUUGAAACGACACACAGUUAAUGUGUGUUCGAGUCUCUCAAAUUUUCGCAAUCAGAAGUGAAACAUCNNNNNNNNNNNNNNNNNNCACUAUCGUUAACUGAAUACAUAGGUUAACGAGGCGAACCGGGGGAACUGAAACAUCUAAGUACCCCGAGGAAAAGAAAUCAACCGAGAUUCCCCCAGUAGCGGCGAGCGAACGGGGAGCAGCCCAGAGUCUGAAUCAGCUUGUGUGUUAGUGGAACGGUCUGGAAAGUCCGACGGUACAGGGUGAUAGUCCCGUACACCAAAAUGCACAGGUUGUGAACUCGAAGAGUAGGGCGGGACACGUGGUAUCCUGUCUGAAUAUGGGGGGACCAUCCUCCAAGGCUAAAUACUCCUGACUGACCGAUAGUGAACCAGUACCGUGAGGGAAAGGCGAAAAGAACCCCGGCGAGGGGAGUGAAAAAGAACCUGAAACCGUGUACGUACAAGCAGUGGGAGCACCUUCGGGUGUGACUGCGUACCUUUUGUAUAAUGGGUCAGCGACUUAUAUUCUGUAGCAAGGUUAACCGUAUAGGGGAGCCGCAGGGAAACCGAGUCUUAACUGGGCGUUAAGUUGCAGGGUAUAGACCCGAAACCCGGUGAUCUAGCCAUGGGCAGGUUGAAGGUUGGGUAACACUAACUGGAGGACCGAACCGACUAAUGUUGAAAAAUUAGCGGAUGACUUGUGGCUGGGGGUGAAAGGCCAAUCAAACCGGGAGAUAGCUGGUUCUCCCCGAAAGCUAUUUAGGUAGCGCCUCGUGAAUUCAUCUUCGGGGGUAGAGCACUGUUUCGGCUAGGGGGUCAUCCCGACUUACCAACCCGAUGCAAACUACGAAUACCGAAGAAUGUUAUCACGGGAGACACACGGCGGGUGCUAACGUCCGUCGUGAAGAGGGAAACAACCCAGACCGCCAGCUAAGGUCCCAAAGUCAUGGUUAAGUGGGAAACGAUGUGGGAAGGCACAGACAGCCAGGAUGUUGGCUUAGAAGCAGCCAUCAUUUAAAGAAAGCGUAAUAGCUCACUGGUCGAGUCGGCCUGCGCGGAAGAUGUAACGGGGCUAAACCAUGCACCGAAGCUGCGGCAGCGACACUAUGUGUUGUUGGGUAGGGGAGCGUUCUGUAAGCCUGCGAAGGUGUGCUGUGAGGCAUGCUGGAGGUAUCAGAAGUGCGAAUGCUGACAUAAGUAACGAUAAAGCGGGUGAAAAGCCCGCUCGCCGGAAGACCAAGGGUUCCUGUCCAACGUUAAUCGGGGCAGGGUGAGUCGACCCCUAAGGCGAGGCCGAAAGGCGUAGUCGAUGGGAAACAGGUUAAUAUUCCUGUACUUGGUGUUACUGCGAAGGGGGGACGGAGAAGGCUAUGUUAGCCGGGCGACGGUUGUCCCGGUUUAAGCAUGUAGGCUGGUUGUCCAGGCAAAUCCGGAUAAUCAAGGCUGAGGUGUGAUGACGAGGCACUACGGUGCUGAAGUAACAAAUGCCCUGCUUCCAGGAAAAGCCUCUAAGCAUCAGGUAACAUCAAAUCGUACCCCAAACCGACACAGGUGGUCAGGUAGAGAAUACCAAGGCGCUUGAGAGAACUCGGGUGAAGGAACUAGGCAAAAUGGUGCCGUAACUUCGGGAGAAGGCACGCUGGUGUGUAGGUGAAGUCCCUGCGGAUGGAGCUGAGACCAGUCGAAGAUACCAGCUGGCUGCAACUGUUUAUUAAAAACACAGCACUGUGCAAACACGAAAGUGGACGUAUACGGUGUGACGCCUGCCCGGUGCCGGAAGGUUAAUUGAUGGGGUUAUCCGUAAGGAGAAGCUCUUGAUCGAAGCCCCGGUAAACGGCGGCCGUAACUAUAACGGUCCUAAGGUAGCGAAAUUCCUUGUCGGGUAAGUUCCGACCUGCACGAAUGGCGUAAUGAUGGCCAGGCUGUCUCCACCCGAGACUCAGUGAAAUUGAACUCGCUGUGAAGAUGCAGUGUACCCGCGGCAAGACGGAAAGACCCCGUGAACCUUUACUAUAGCUUGACACUGAACAUUGAGCCUUGAUGUGUAGGAUAGGUGGGAGGCUUUGAAGCGUGGACGCCAGUCUGCGUGGAGCCAACCUUGAAAUACCACCCUUUAAUGUUUGAUGUUCUAACGUUGGCCCCUGACCGGGGUUGCGGACAGUGUCUGGUGGGUAGUUUGACUGGGGCGGUCUCCUCCCAAAGCGUAACGGAGGAGCACGAAGGUUAGCUAAUCCUGGUCGGACAUCAGGAGGUUAGUGCAAUGGCAUAAGCUAGCUUGACUGCGAGCGUGACGGCGCGAGCAGGUGCGAAAGCAGGUCAUAGUGAUCCGGUGGUUCUGAAUGGAAGGGCCAUCGCUCAACGGAUAAAAGGUACUCCGGGGAUAACAGGCUGAUACCGCCCAAGAGUUCAUAUCGACGGCGGUGUUUGGCACCUCGAUGUCGGCUCAUCACAUCCUGGGGCUGAAGUAGGUCCCAAGGGUAUGGCUGUUCGCCAUUUAAAGUGGUACGCGAGCUGGGUUUAGAACGUCGUGAGACAGUUCGGUCCCUAUCUGCCGUGGGCGCUGGAGAAUUGAGGGGGGCUGCUCCUAGUACGAGAGGACCGGAGUGGACGCAUCACUGGUGUUCGGGUUGUCAUGCCAAUGGCACUGCCCGGUAGCUAAAUGCGGAAGAGAUAAGUGCUGAAAGCAUCUAAGCACGAAACUUGCCCC
rnacentral:rRNA from 1 species